ensembl:lncRNA
GUAUGACGCCGUCUCCACUCCGGUCCAGAGACGUGACGGCGGAUGAGAUCCAGCAGCUGCUGCUUGAGUCCUUCUCACCCCGGACCGCCCCGGACUUUAUACUGGGGGCGUGACCUCCAGCCUGGACGGGGCGUUGCCUUCAUGCCGGAGGGGGCGCGGCCUUCAAGCAGGAGGGGCGUGUCACUUCGUUGUGUAACACAGUCGUGUGUUUGGACACACACGCACAAGAUCACGUGUCACACAAACACACACAUGCAUGCCUGCAUACACACACAAACACGCAAAAAUACUUACAUACACACACACACACACACUCAGGCCGUGUAACGCGAUGGGAUUCCAGAGCUGGUCCGCAUUCCAUGCAGGUCGGCCUGCAGGCUCUGCCGUGACCCCUGGUCCUGGGAUACAGGGCGGCGAGCCGAGCGCCUAUCUCCAGCCCCCUGAUCUCCUGCUGAGCCCCCCUGAUCUCCUGCUGAGCCUGGAAGGUGUUCCUCCCCGCUGCCCGCUGCCCAGCGCCUCGCUGACCCAGGAGAGUCAGAGCAUCACCGGAGCGUUUCAGUCAAAUUUGGACUACGGACAGCAUGUGGAUCAGGUGGUAGAGCGGGUUGGUUGCUAGUUUGAUCCCAGCUCGAGGUGUCCCUGAGGGACACCCCUCUCCCUGAAUGCUCCUGUUGAGCUGGCUGUCGGUGGGUGAAUGUUAGGCAAUAUUGUAAAAUGCUUUUUCAUUCAGGCCUGGAAUAUUGUUUUGGAAUUUUAUGACAUUACUAAUAUAUCUUGUGGAGCAUUCAAAUCCCUCCGUCCAUGUGUUGGCUAAUGGGGAGAGAGAGAGAGAGAGAGAGAGAGAGAGAGAGAGAGAG